GGAGGAGGGAAGGGGUCGGCGCUGACCCGUGCGCGCGCGGCCCGCGGGCUGGAGCUGGCCUGCAGGGAGAGGGUCCUGCGGUCCAGCACGCCGGCGCCAGGGAGCGGCGCGAGGACGCCAGCGAGCCCAGGAUGAGAAAAAUCUCUGAAUGUGCAUCUCCCCAUCUGUGACUCUUCCAGACCCACAAGCGUUGGGUAGAGUCCUGGAUUUCAAGUCAGCCCUUCCAAGGGAAGUUAUCAACUGGAUGACUUCAAACUAAUACAGAUCCAGACUUUUCUCAUGUGAAACCUUUUUAAAUGUGUCCAUACUUCAGAGAGAUAAGGUAAGGAACAGGAGAGGAAACAAAAGUGAAACCCUAGUGUUAGGUGUGGUGGUUUAUAUCCGUAAUCUCAGCACUCUGGAAGCUGAGGCAGGAGGAUCACCAGUUCAAAGCCAGCAGAGCAAGAGCUCUUUAAAAAUAAAAAUGACCUGUGUGGUGGAGAGCACACUUUUAAUCCCAGGAGGGUUAGAAAGACAGGGUAGGUGGAUCUUUGAGUUUGAGGCCAAUCUGGGAGGGAGUCCCAGGAUAGCCUGGUACUUGAGACCUUGUCUCAAAAAGGUGGGGGAGGUGGGGAUCAGGCAUAUAGCAGCUCAGUGUAAGAGUGCUUGCCUAAAGCCAGGCAGCGGUGGCACACGCCUUUAAUCCCAGCACUUGGGAGGCAGAGCUAGGCAGAUCUCUGUGAGUUGGGGCCAGCCUGGGCUACAGAUCAAGAUCUAGGACAGGUACCAAAACUACAAAGAGAAACCUUUGUCUCAAAAAACAAAAUAACAAAAAAAAAAAAAAAAAAAAAAAAGAGUGCUUGCCUAGUGUGCAAAGGGCUCUGAGUUUGAUCCUCAGUGCUGGAAAAAAGAAAUAAUGAAAACUAAAGCUGAUAGACACAUUUAAAACGAUUACCAACACGCUUCUCACUAAUAGUAAUGUCCUUGGACCAAAUUCAAUAGAAAAAAAAAAUUCCUGAUUACUUAGUAUAAGCAAAACAUAGUUCAGUGCCUAGACAAACCACACAGACUGCUGCUCAGAAAGCUCACUGUGGAGCAAGGAAGGUAGUUUUAUUAACCUAUAGUCAACAGAUCAUAUGAACAAAGGGUUGGGCAAAUACAGAGGAGAAUGUGAUAAAUUCCAGAUGAGUGAGGCUUCAAUGGAAGAGGUAGACCUUCAGGGAUUACCUGUUUUGUGCCGAAUACAUGUUUGUGAUUCAGAAGACAGCAUUUAGUCUAGAGUGUGAAGAUAUUGAGUCUAAACCAAAGCUGCAGCCAGAUGGGAGAGUCCCGUGCCUCUGCCCUGUGCCUCCAGAUAACACCCUUCCCUAUUUCUCAAGACCCAACCCAACUCUUUGUUGUUGUUGGAGACAGGAUCUCAAACAUGUAGCUGAAGAUAAUCUUGAACUCCUUCACCUCCUCCCAAAUCUUAGGAUUCCAGGCAUGCACCACUAUAACCCUUUACCCUCAUAACUUUACUUGCUGAAUCUGAACACACAAGCAUUCCACUGGAUGCUCUUUCUCCAAUCUCUGAAUCCCAAUUAUUUUACCUGUCUGAUACCAAUAGAUUAUAAUCUUAAAAAAAAUACUUGUAUUUGUAUUGCAGUACCUGCAUACUUAUUGAGUUGAACAUUUUGGCAUUCAUACUCCUGUUUAUCAUUACAAAAAAAUAAUUCCGGUAUUCUGACAAGACAAAUGAGCAAAUAUAGGACUUAAUUAAUGCCAAAGUUCAUAAAUAAAUCACAGACACAACUAGAAUGCCAGUUGUGUGUUCUUUGCUUUGAACUAUAUAUAGAUUACUGAAAAAAUUACAAAUCUCUAGCUGCUCUGUGAAAAUACUCAAGUGACCCUCUCUGUAAUACUUUCAAGAACAGUCCCAUGGAUAUAGUUAAGGUUUUAAAUUUAGACUUCCAAUCUAGAUGGUCCAGAAACUCCAUCCACUUCAUCCUACCAGAUGACAAUUACUUGCAGCAGAAGUCUUAUUCUGUCCUCCCAAAUGAGAAAUACAAUUGCCUAAUGGAUCAGUACUUAUAUUUGUUCUCUUCUUAGAUAAUAGAACUAUAUUAUUCAGCUGUUGUUACUAAAAUGACAUACCAGGAGUAGCUUAGUUAUGAAGAAAAGUUUAGGGCUUGAAGUGUAGUUCAGUAUCAGACUGCUUGCCUAGUUUGCUCCCUAUAUGUGCUCCCUAUAUAUGAUUGUGAGGGACAAAUCAGCAGUCAAGAGUACAUAUUGUUCUUCCAGACGACCUGAGUUUGGUUCCCAGUAUUCCCAUGGUGGUUCACAAUCAUCCAUAACUCUAGUUCCAAAGAUCCAAUGCCCUCUCCUGAUCUGAGGCAGCAAACACACAUCUGCUACUCAUAAAUACAUGCAGGCAAAACACUCAGACAUAAAAUAAGAUGAAUAAAUAUUUUAAAA